rnacentral:rRNA from 1 species
AGAGUUUGAUCCUGGCUCAGGAUGAACGCUAGCGGCAGGCUUAAUACAUGCAAGUCGAGGGGCAGCAUGAGUAGCAAUACUUGAUGGCGACCGGCAAACGGGUGCGGAACACGUACGCAACCUUCCUUUAAGUGGAGAAUAGCUCCCGGAAACGGGAAUUAAUACUCCGUAACAUUAUGAUGUGGCAUCACAUUAUAAUUAUAGAUUUAUCGCUUAAAGAUGGGCGUGCGCCUGAUUAGGUAGUUGGCGGGGUAACGGCCCACCAAGCCUUCGAUCAGUAACUGGCGUGAGAGCGCGACCAGUCACACGGGCACUGAGACACGGGCCCGACUCCUACGGGAGGCAGCAGUAAGGAAUAUUGGUCAAUGGACGCAAGUCUGAACCAGCCAUGCCGCGUGGAGGAUGAAGGUCCUCUGGAUUGUAAACUUCUUUUAUUUGGGACGAAAAAAGGGAAUUCUUUCCCACUUGACGGUACCAGAUGAAUAAGCACCGGCUAACUCCGUGCCAGCAGCCGCGGUAAUACGGAGGGUGCAAGCGUUAUCCGGAUUUACUGGGUUUAAAGGGUGCGCAGGCGGAUAUGUAAGUCAGUGGUGAAAUCUCUGGGCUUAACCCGGAAAUUGCCAUUGAUACUAUAUAUCUUGAAUGUUGUGGAGGUAAGCGGAAUAUGUCAUGUAGCGGUGAAAUGCUUAGAUAUGACAUAGAACACCUAUUGCGAAGGCAGCUUACUACGCAGAUAUUGACGCUCAUGCACGAAAGCGUGGGGAUCAAACAGGAUUAGAUACCCUAGUAGUCC